UAAUAACUUUACGGAUCACAUUAAAUGUGACAUAUCAUUCAAGUUUCUGACCUAUCAGCUUNANACGGUAGGGUAUUGGCCUACCGUGGCGAUGACGGGUAACGGGGAAUUAGGGUUCGAUUCCGGAGAGGGAGCCUGAGAAACGGCUACCACAUCUAAGGAAGGCAGCAGGCGCGCAAAUUACCCAAUCCUAAUACAGGGAGGUAGUGACAAGAAAUAACAAUACAGGACUUUUUGGUUUUGUAAUUGGAAUGAGUUAAGUAUAAACCCCUUUACAAGUAUCAAUUGGAGGGCAAGUCUGGUGCCAGCAGCCGCGGUAAUUCCAGCUCCAAUAGCGUAUAUUAAAGUUGUUGCAGUUAAAAAGCUCGUAGUUGGAUUUCUGUUAAUAAUUUAUAUAAAAUAUUUUGAAGA
rnacentral:rRNA from 1 species